UAACGCGUGGGAAUCUGCCCUGGAGUGGGGGAUAACCCGGCGAAAGCCGGGCUAAUACCGCAUACGUCCUGAGGGAGAAAGAUUUAUCGCUCUAGGAGGGGCCCGCGUCGGAUUAGCUAGUUGGUGAGGUAACGGCCCACCAAGGGUAUGAUCCGUAGCUGGUCUGAGAGGAUGAUCAGCCACACUGGGACUGAGACACGGCCCAGACUCCUACGGGAGGCAGCAGUGGGGAAUAUUGGACAAUGGGCGCAAGCCUGAUCCAGCAAUGCCGCGUGAGUGGUGAAGGGCUUAGGGUUGU
rnacentral:rRNA from 1 species